rnacentral:rRNA from 1 species
CCUACGGGUGGCAGCAGUCGAGAAUCAUUCACAAUGGGGGAAACUCUGAUGGUGCGACGCCGCGUGGGGGAAUGAAGGUCUUCGGAUUGUAAACCCCUGUCAUGUGGGAGCAAAUGAAAAAGAGAGUACCACAAGAGGAAGAGACGGCUAACUCUGUGCCAGCAGCCGCGGUAAAACAGAGGUCUCAAGCGUUGUUCGGAAUCACUGGGCGUAAAGCGUGCGUAGGCUGUUUCGUAAGUCGUGUGUGAAAGGCGCGGGCUCAACCCGCGGACGGCACAUGAUACUGCGAGACUAGAGUGAUGGAGGGGGGAUCGGAAUUCUCGGUGUAGCAGUGAAAUGCGUAGAUAUCGAGAGGAACACUCGUGGCGAAGGCGGGUUCCUGGACAUUAACUGACGCUGAGGCACGAAGGCCAGGGGAGCGAAAGGGAUUAGAUACCCCUGUAGUC